AUUGAACGCUGGCGGCAGGCCUAACACAUGCAAGUCGAACGGUAACAGGAAACAGCUUGCUGUUUCGCUGACGAGUGGCGGACGGGUGAGUAAUGUCUGGGAAACUGCCUGAUGGAGGGGGAUAACUACUGGAAACGGUAGCUAAUACCGCAUAACGUCGCAAGACCAAAGAGGGGGACCUUCGGGCCUCUUGCCAUCGGAUGUGCCCAGAUGGGAUUAGCUAGUAGGUGGGGUAACGGCUCACCUAGGCGACGAUCCCUAGCUGGUCUGAGAGGAUGACCAGCCACACUGGAACUGAGACACGGUCCAGACUCCUACGGGAGGCAGCAGUGGGGAAUAUGGCACAAUGGGCGCAAGCCUGAUGCAGCCAUGUCGCGUGUAUGAAGAAGGCCUUCGGGUUGUAGAGUACUUUCAGCGGGGAGGAAGGGAGUAAAGUUAAUACCUUUGCUCAUUGACGUUACCCGCAGAAGAAGCACCGGCUAACUCCGUGCCAGCCGCCGCCGUAA
rnacentral:rRNA from 1 species